rfam:Triticum aestivum genome assembly, contig: Triticum_aestivum_CS42_TGACv1_scaffold_220651_3B
UUACUACUCCCUCCGUCCGGAAAUACUUGUCGAAAAAAUGCGUAUAAAUGAAUGUAUCUAGAACUAAAAUACAUCUAGAUACAUCCAUUCUUCCGACGAGUAUUUUCGGACGGAGGGAGUAUAUC